rnacentral:rRNA from 1 species
UACGAAGGGUGCAAGCGUUACUCGGAAUUACUGGGCGUAAAGCGUGCGUAGGUGGUUUGUUAAGUCUGUUGUGAAAGCCCCGGGCUCAACCUGGGAACGGCGCUUGGGACGGCGAGGCUGGAGUUCGGGAGAGGAGAGUGGAAUUCCCAGUGUAGAGGUGAAAUUCGUAGAUAUUGGGAAGAACACCGGUGGCGAAGGCGGCUCUCUGGACCGACACUGACGCUGAGGCGCGAAAGCGUGGGGAGCAAACAGG